UUUUUUUUUGCUUCAUUCUUAUUCAAACAAAAACAGAGAACACCCCAUUCCCUUUUCCUCCUUUCGGUUAGGGUUUCUAAACCCAUUUUUUCCGCCGUCAUCGUGGCUCUUUGAAGCCGCCGAGGCUUCCACCGUCGACAGUGGUCAGGGCCACCAAGAUCUAGGUGAGUUUUUCUUUUUUAUUUUUUAUUUAAAAACGAUUUAUAAUGAAAAUAAUGAGAUUAAAUCAAAAGAAAACAAAAAAAGGAAAGAAAUAAACUAAAAGAAUAAGAGAAAUAGAGAUUAAAAUCAACAUUUCUUUCUUCUGUUGUUUUGCUUUUUGAUUUUCAAUAUACUUGUCUAACAGUCUUUUUCUUUUUUUCAAAACAGAAUAACCAAAGAAAAUCAAAAAAACCAGAAAUCCCUCAUCCCUCUUCACAUGGUAAAUUCGGCUUUUAUAGUCGUUUGUACAUGUCAUAGCUUUUUCUUUUUUACUUUUCUUAUUUCUCUGCCUUGUUACUAUUCAAUCACUGUUUUGUAUUGUCUUGCUUUUGCUUGCUAUUGUUUCUUUGCUAAUUUGGUCUUCUUUUGCAGGGAUGGCAGAGGGUGGUUGAAGGUAGAAGGCCCUAGGUGCGACGCACCUAGGGUUUGAAAUUUUAGAUUUUUCUUCUCUUUUUUUGAUUUGGGCUAUUGGGGUUAGUUUGGGCUUGGGUUGGUGUUUAGUUUUUUUAAGGGUAUUGGGUUGGCUGAUAGGUUUAGCUAAUGUUGGGUCUAGGUUUUAUUGGGUAGUUGGGUUUUGAGUUUUAUGUAAAUGGGCCAAAAUUAACCUACAAUAAUAUUUAUGUCUUUUAACAUCUUUACUUUUUCAAAAUUAUAACAUACACUUACCAGGAGGUUGAAACAUCCACCAAUUAACCCCAAACCCUAGCUUAAAGUUUAACGAAGAACGAGAGAAUAUUUGGGUUUAAGAAAAAGAACCUGAAUGUAGAAUAGAAGUAAAAAAAGUCAUCUUAAUGUUCCCUUCUUACCAUAUAUAUAUUCAGUUACUUUUAGUGAAUCUUGACAAAUGUUAAAUGCAUAUAGAAAUUGUCCCUUCAAUGCCCAACAAAGAUUGAGAGAAAUAUAAAAAGAGAAUCCGAUGCAAAUGUUAUUUGGCUUGCCAAUCCAUUCGGUUAACUCCAAACUAGACAUGUUACAAAACUCACUUUGCACAUCGUUCGAGCAAAUCAGACGUACAAUACAUUUAGCAGUAACUCUCAUAAGUCGUACUCUUGAAGACGAUCUAAUCUCUCAAUAUUUUCUCAUACAUUUGAUGUGUGUCAAAACAGGUAACCUUCACAUCUAUUUGCCUCUUUAUUGGAUCUCUUCUAUGCUGUCAUUGUUAACUUUUUAUUUGGCUGUUAACUUUCAAAAUUUAUGUAUUAUUUUUAAUGUCUUAUUUGUCGCUUUCCUCUCUAUUUGAAGUUUUUUGAAUUAUUAAAAAAAAAAGAGAGAGAAAAUAAAUAUUAGCAAUGUACUUUUACAUGUUUUAUAUUUAUUUUAACUAUAAACCUUUUAAGUUCUUUUUCUUUUGGACCAAGCCGUCUAUCCAUCCAACCGACCAAUCCAAUCCCAAGAACAAUCAUCAAAUCUUAAUGAAAUCCAAAUGCAAAACCUAAAUGAAUCUAAUUGCUAAAUUCAAAUAUUAAAAUGAAUAACAAAAAUACAAGUGAAUCUAGUUAUCAUGAUAAUGAGCCAAAAUUUAUAUUAUUACUUAAGAAAACAAUGAGUUGAAGUAAUUGUCAAGACUCUUUUCAUUCACAAGAACAGAUGUAGAUGUUUGUAGUCAGAAAACUGGAAAGCAAAUUGAUUAGCUCUUGAAAUGACAUUACCUACGACAAGGAUUUUAAACAACUGCUAAUUCUAAUCAAAUUUGAUCAAUAAAUUGCAGUGAUACUUGAACUAAGUUGAAAUCAUGAAAUCAUCUUUGGAAGGGUUUUACAAUCAUCCCGACCCAAAUAAGAUUAGACUCAAACUACAAGGGUUCUACAAUCAUAGACCCAAAUAAGAUUACACUUAAACUGCCAAGGGUUUUACAAUCAUCCCCGCCCAAAUAAGAUUAGACUCAAACUGCAACUGCAAAACAAUGAAGACAAAAUCUAGAUGUUAAUCUCAAAAUUACACAUUAGCUUUUUAAUAUAAACAUCUAUUUGAUUCAACUAUAUACAUCACCGUUUCCGGCACAACCGUUUUUUAAGGUUACUAACCCCAUGAAACCAUCAAACCCAAGCUCUUCUUACUUUGAAAAUCAUCUUAACAAUCCCAAACUGAAAACAUCCAAGCAUUUCAACUAUCACACUUCUCAAUCAAUCAUAGCUACAGCAACUAAAACCUAUUUGCUAAUGCCAACAGGCAACACAUAAACAACCUACUAUAAGUCAGCAACCAUAAGAAUCAGUCAAAUAAGAAAGCAAUCAAAUUUAAAUGCUUAAAAGAGAAGAAACAAAAAAAAUAAAACAAGCACAACAUAUAUUGCACAAACACUUCAUUAGCAUUAAAUGAAGAAGCUAUAACAACACCAUUCAUCAUGGACAUCAAAUCAAGGGGGACCCUUACAAGAAUAAUCCAACUUUUUUCACCCCAACCCCUUUCUCAUUCCCAUCUCGACUGCUAGCGUGACAAACAAUUAAAAGAUGAAAAAGGAACCAAACCCAUAUUUCGAAACAUCACAAAACACCAAAGCUUGACGAAAAACACAUUUUUUGGGUUUUUUUAUAAUCACUUUUUAAGGCUACCCCUAACACCAGGACGAGGCUUGGAAGGCUCAACCACAUGAACAGCAUGUAGAUUCACAAGCUUUGACUCUUCAAAGGGAACCUUGGGAUGCUUGGCAUCAUGAUGAAUCUGCAUCGACUUCAAAUCUGGAGCUGUUAUUUUGCAAUGAGGACACUCG
rnacentral:lncRNA from 1 species